UUAAAGAUUACUUUCCAUGGGUAAACGUUUGCGUUAUCAGUGCUCUGUAUAAGGUUAUGGGAUUGUAAUUCGUUACGUAGCAGAGCUUGCAAUAAGUUAUUUUAUGAUCCAAUUCUUUCCCUUGUUGAUUGAGGAAGGAUACAUGAAUUUUAACACGUAUUACCUACUAUCUUUGUGUAUUUAAUAAUCACAAAGCAAAUUUAUUUGUCUCGGUAAAAAAUUUAGGCAGGCAUAUAAAAUAUUUAUUUUGAUAUGAACAGACAUUAUCUAUUAUAGUAUUCAUCGGCGACCUUCGUGAGACCUCGUCAUCAUCACCCGGAAAUUGCUGUAUAGAUGUAAACGCGCGUUACAAUUUUCCGAAGCAGGAAGUAUAAACGCAGCGGCCAAGGGCCUUGAAGACUGCAGUAGUGGAAUGCCCUCGCAAGGGUAUCUGAAUGUCGGGCUUUGGUGCCAGUCGUCGCCCCCAGUCCCUCCACGCCCCUCUAUGCUGCCCUCGUCCUGCACUUCUAUUAGAGACUAAUUUUAUAUUUUAUAAUAAGUAAUUAUAGCCUAAAUAAUACAUACUUCUAAUUUAAAUAAUUAUCGAAAAAUAAAAUAAGUUUACUUUCUGAGAUAAAUAUUGUAACAGUGAUACCAAUUUAUUUACCUUUAUAUAUACUAUGUAACAAUUAUAAUGGCUAUGGUCACUCAUUUCGGAUUAAAUUUGCUAUUAAGCCUUCGAUCAAAAAAAUUUUUGGAGGAUCACAAUUUUUUUUUUCUGGGAUUUUAUAUUUAUAAGAUAUAUGAACCUAGUCUUAAGUCAAUUAUUACCAAUACGGAUCCUGUUUAUAUAAAUAAAUAAAAGUUACUAACAAUACAAUAUGUAAUAUAUACAAUACUGGCUUUUUACCCGCUACUUCGUAAGUGUGGAUUUCUAAAUUAGGAAAACCAAUGAAGUAGAACACUUCUUGCGUAAUAGCAUAUUAAGAUAAUACAAACACCAAAUUUUAUGCUUAACCUUCAGGAACACAACUGUGAAAAUCGUAUUCAAUUUAGUUUAGUAGUUUAAAUGUGACGCCGAAACGAACAUACAAACAGCUAACAAAAUUUCUAAAAAUUAUUGUAUUGGCAACUGUUGGUCUUAUUAAGACAUUUCAUACAAACUUUUCUCAAAUAUUUCGCAUGGAAAAACAUCGUCUAGUUACAAUUUUAUUAUAUUAGUAUAAUAUUUUAAAAAAUUGCUUGUUUUAUAAAAACUUUUUUUUAUUAAUUCAUUUUAAAGCUAGAGUCCAGCUCUGCAACCAAGUUCAACCAAU